rnacentral:rRNA from 1 species
ACGGGUGAGUAACGCGUAGAUAAUGUGCCCUCUUGCGGGGGAUACCGUUUCGAAAGGAACGUUAAUACCGCAUAAAGUCCUUGGGAGGCAUCUCCUAGGGACCAAACUUCCGGGGCGGGAGGAGCAAUCUGCGUACUAUCAGGUAGUUGGUGAGGUAACGGCUCACCAAGCCUACGACGGUUAACUGGUCUGAGAGGAUGAUCAGUCACACUGGAACUGAGACACGGUCCAGACUCCUACGGGAGGCAGCAGUGAGGAAUAUUGCGCAAUGGGCGAAAGCCUGACGCAGCGACGCCGCGUGGAGGAUGACGGUCUUCGGAUUGUAAACUCCUGUCAGUAGGGAAGAGAAUGGAAGGGUACCUACUGAGGAAGCUUCGGCUAACUACGUGCCAGCAGCCGCGGUAAAGACGUAGGGAGCAAGCGUUGUCCGGGAAUUACUGGGCGUAAAGAGCUCGUAGGCGGGAUCGUAAGUCUUAGAGUAAAUCUCACGGCUCAACCGUGGGGGCCUUCUGAGAUACUGCGAUUCUUGAGGAUGUCAGAGGAAAGUGGAAUUCCCGGU